AUAGGGCUGUGCGUGUGCCUGUGCGGCUGGGGAAGUCACCUGGAUUGUGAGGGAGCCCCAGGUUCCCCAGAUACCUGGGGUUAAGUAAAAGUCACUGGCUCUUGAGGGGAGCCCUCUGGAGAGGCCCACAAGGCAAGAAACAGACCUCUUGCCAACAGCCAAGAGAGGGAUCUGGGAAGUGGAUCUUCUAGUCCCAGUCAAGCCUUCAGAUGACUGCAACCCUGCGUGACAUCUUGACUGCAACCUCAUGAGAGACCCUGAGCAAAAGCCACCCAGCUAAGUGACUCCCAAACCCCUGACCCUCAGAAGGUUCACUCUCUGUCUCUUGGAUUACUUGCCUUGGGGGAAGCCAGCUGCCAUGUUGUGAGAAUGCUUAGGCAGCCUCUAUGCAGGCCCGCAUGGUGAGGAACUGAGGCCUCCAGCCAAAGCCAGUGCGGGACUGAGGCCUGCCAACAACCAUGUGUGUGAGUUUGGAAUUGAAUCCUCUAGCCCCAGAUGACUAUGGCCCUGCCUGAGAGCUUGACUUCAACCUCAUGAGAGACUCAGAAAAAACCAUCCAGCUAAGCUGCUCCCAGAUUCCUGAUUCUCAGAAAUUGUGUGACAUAAUAAAUG